rnacentral:rRNA from 1 species
AGCGAACGCUGGCGGCAGGCCUAACACAUGCAAGUCGAACGGAUCCUUCGGGAUUAGUGGCGGACGGGUGAGUAACACGUGGGAACGUGCCCUUUGGUUCGGAACAACUCAGGGAAACUUGAGCUAAUACCGGAUGUGCCCUUCGGGGGAAAGAUUUAUCGCCAUUGGAGCGGCCCGCGUCUGAUUAGCUAGUUGGUGAGGUAACGGCCCACCAAGGCGACGAUCAGUAGCUGGUCUGAGAGGAUGAUCAGCCACACUGGGACUGAGACACGGCCCAGACUCAACGGGGAGGAAGCAGGGGGAAUUCUGGAAGAGGGGGAGACAUCAUAACGCACCAAUCCGGGGGAAAUAAUAAGGUCCUUAGGAUUGAAAAUUUUUUAGAGGGGGGACAAUAAGCGGGUCCCCCGAAAGAGAGCCUCGGCCAACCUUGGUC